GUGCUCGCUUUGGCGGCAUGUAUACUAAAACUGGAACCAUACGGAGAUGAGCAUGGCCCCUGUGCAAGAGUGACACACAAAUUCGUGAAGUGUUCCGUAUUUUU